rnacentral:rRNA from 1 species
GACGAACGCUGGCGGCGUGCCUAAUACAUGCAAGUAGAACGCUGAAGAGAGGAGCUUGCUCUUCUUGGAUGAGUUGCGAACGGGUGAGUAACGCGUAGGUAACCUGCCUUGUAGCGGGGGAUAACUAUUGGAAACGAUAGCUAAUACCGCAUAACAAUGGAUGACACAUGUCAUUUAUUUGAAAGGGGCAAUUGCUCCACUACAAGAUGGACCUGCGUUGUAUUAGCUAGUAGGUGAGGUAAUGGCUCACCUAGGCGACGAUACAUAGCCGACCUGAGAGGGUGAGCGGCCAAGCUGGGACUGAGACACGGCCCAGACUCCUACGGGAGGCAGCAGUAGGGAAUCUUCGGCAAUGGGGGCAACCCUGACCGAGCAACGCCGCGUGAGUGAAGAAGGGUUUCGGAUCGUAAAGCUCUGUUGUAAGUCAAGAACGGGUGUGAGAGUGGAAAGUUCACACUGUGACGGUAGCUUACCAGAAAGGGACGGCUAACUACGUG